rnacentral:sRNA from 1 species
GCCUAGCCCCGAUUGAAGCUUUGUUUGAGCUCUUUUUUGUUUUUUUUAAACAAAAAAAGCGAGUGCGGAAAGCCGGAAAUUGC